ACCACCUUGGAGGAAUGUGUAGAGAGGAAAGAGCACCAAGGGUCUAUUCCUGGAGAAAGCUGUCAACGAAGAUUAAGGAAGAUCAACCAGGUAGGAGGAAAAUAACAGAGGGUAGUGCCCAGGAGCUAAGGGAGGGAGUGUUUCUGGAAUGGGACCAGGCAGCUGUGUUGGAUGCCACUGAGAGAUUGCCCAAGAUGAGGGCAGAGACGUUCCCCCCGCACAGAGAGGCAGGGAAGCCAAUGGGCUUGGCAAGGCUGGGUGGUGUGAUCAAGGCUGGAGCUAGACGGGAUUUCCUCAGGGGAAAGGUGAACCGAGGAGGCCAAGCCAGCACAUGUGCAGACAGAAAACAUUUCAGUGGCGUCUGGACAAAGGAUCAAGAGAUGGUUGCUGCAGUGGCGAGGAGAAAUCUGGAAAACAGGAAGAGGCUGGUGAUUCAAGAGACAGUAGACCGAAGGCGGCGCUGUCUAGGGGAGACAGGUAGACAGGUGCACCACACCGCAGAUCAUGAGAUUGUCCCUUGAUACUAGGACUGUGUCUGUUUGCUGGGGCUGUCGUAAUCAGGUACCCAAACUGGGUACCAUGGACAAAAGCACGAACUGUGUCACAGAUCUGGAGGCCGAAGGUCCAAGAUCAAGGUGUUGGUGGGGUUGGUUCUUUCUGAGGGCUGCGAGGGAAGCAUCUGUACAGGCUUCGUCCCUCGGCUUGUAGGUGGUGUCUUCUCCCAGGUCUUCGCAUCGCCUCCCCUUCAUGUGUCUGUGCUCAGACUUCCUCCUAUAAGGGCACCAAGCCUAUUGGAGUAGAGCCUACCCUCAUGACCUCAUUUUAACGUCACCUCUUUAAACACCCUGUCUCCAAAUACAGCCCCAUUCCGAGGUACUAAGAGGUUAGAAUUUCAACAUAGGAAUUUGGUAGUUGGGGGUGUUGGGGGUUGCGGGCUGGGACUUAACAGCCUGUAACAAGGAAAAAUAUUUCUUCUCCUAUAGCUGAAUGAGAAAGGGUUGGGGAAGGCAGGGCUAGGUGUUUAGAUUGGUGGUGAAAGGUAGAAAGGUGCUUCAUUUCAUGGCUUCUAGAGUCUCAAUGAGACAACUAUGGGUGAGAGAUUAGAAAAGAAAAAAGGCUGGAAACAGUUGCCUGGGGAAACGGGACCGUUAUCUUACUAAAGAAACACUAGGAUUCCUGGGUAGCAGUGAGGGCCCAUUUCAGUUUUGAGGUCAUGAAUAUAGAGUGAAACCAUUCAGCUCAGUUUGUAAUUUCCUGUAGCAACACACAGCUGCUCUGGAGGACAGAGAGAAGCAGAUGGGAUUGUACCAGGCAAGCGUCACUUACCACGAGGUUUUAAAAUAGUGUGCAGUUUUGAGAGAGGUUUAAAAUACCACCAGCAUUUAGAUAGAAGCCAUCACUCUCUUCCUUUCUGCAUGUCACAUGUUCGGGUUCCAGAAAACCUGAACCUGGCAAGCAGGACCCUCUAGACCAGAGUCAGGGAUGUCCACAGGAAGCCCUCAGAGAAGACAGAAGUUUGCCUGACCAGAUUCCAGCCUGGUGAAGAACUAUGAUUCACGCACUUUCACAUUUCCUCAUGGCUGGGGAGCUAGGAAACGCUACCACUUUUUGUGUUCACAGCCGCAAGUGAACUUUUAUUUAUUCACUCAGCAAACAAUGCUCUGUGUGCUCACUGUGUGCAGCCGCCAUUCUCCUCAGUGUUAGUGAACAAGAAAACGUCUGCAUAUAAAGUUUGGUAGUGGAGGUGGAAAGGAAUAGAAAAUUAAGCAACGGUAAUACUGUUUGGGAAUAAUGCUGUGAAGAAACAAAAGCAUAGUAGAGAUUUAGGAAAGGGAAAGGGUUUAGAUAGAGGGAUUGUAUGAGCUCGGGAGAGGCUGCGUUUGGGCCGAGCAUGAGGAAGCCAGAGAUUGACACUUUAGAUCUAGAAUAUUGCUCUUUGCAACAACUUUCUGCUGAAUUGCAGAUUAAAUGAUGAUAAAUCUACCUCAUGAGGGAUUCUACUUCCUAAGACAGGGUAGUUGUAUACAAAGUUUGAUUUACCAUCGCUUUGAUGGUCAACAUGUAACAAUGUACAAAAGUUCUAUUAGCAAAUUACUAGUGAGUCCAGGACUAUUAUUUCCCAGGAACCAAAUGGUUCCACUAUCAGUUGAAAUCUUAGUGCAUGACUAGGGCUCAUAAAAAGUUAAUAGAAACCUUGAAGCCACUUGGAUUGUUGAUUUUCACAGACAUCCCAGAGACAUCAAAAUACUGCUCCUUCUACCGUUACAACUGCAAAAUAGGAUAUGGUACGUGGUCGACUCUUGCAACAGAAGAUAUUUCCAUAACACAGCAUUAUCACAUGACCUUUUUCCAAAUAUAAAUUCACUUCUCUGCCAGGUUUAUGACAUGAUAGCUAAACAACUUUGGUAUUAAAACCAGUGGAGACAGUUAGCAAGGGAAAUAAGGAAGGCUCCCGUGCACAUGACAUAUGGUGUAGAUGUGUAUAUUCAUGUCCAGGAUUUCCGGACUUCCACAUGUUCUAGAAAUCUAGAAAUUCACUUUCAUUAAGACAUUAAUCCACGUUGACCGUCUGGUGUAGGAGCAACCCAGUUUCUUCUUGAUAAUCAGGAUGGAAUAACCAGAGAAGGAGCCUCCUUCUUUGCCUGAUGCUUCAGCCGCAUGAGGAUUCCGAAAGGCCAGAUGGUGUUGUCAAGCUCCAGCUCAACGGGGCUAUCAAAAGAAUUUUGAUAUGUGAAAGCGUUUCUGACAUGUGAACCGAAACCUCGAGACGAGCAGAGUGCAAAGUUUAGAAGAGGCCAUGUGAUCACAUUCUGUUCACUGAGAUGUCAGUGAAGUAUUGCUGGAGAUUUCUGGGAAGUCUUUUAAAGGAACUUAGCUGGGCUUCUGACUGUCUCCUUUUGAUUCUUCCUGCCUCCUGCACCAUGGAAGUGGUACCUCCAGCUCCAGGAGCCAUAUUGGACCUUGAGUUUUUGUACUCAUAACAAGAGGUAAGCAGCGACAUCAUGUUGGAGAACUACCGAAGACCCUCAGGAACACACCUGUGGUUGAGGAAGGCGCAUCAUGCUUGCUGCAGUGAGAGAAAACUAACACCGUGGAAAACCGCGAUGUCUCAGGAAGAGGGCGUUGAAAAGGAACGGUCGUAGGAUCUGGGUUUGGAGCAGGUUAAUAUUCAUCAGAAGCCUGAGUGACCCCAAAAAGAUAAUGACACUCUUCUGUCCAAAACCUUCUAGAGGCUUCCUGUGCUCACUUGAAGCAAAAUCCAAAGUGCUGACUGAUUACCAGCUCCUCUGGCUGGCCCACUGCAAGAUGGCAUCUCCGCCAGCCUCCCACUCAAGGCCUCCACUUCUGCCUCCGUGGUCUUUCUCUUGUUCUGGAGCAUCCCAAGCACAUUCCCCCCUCAAGGCCUUGGCCCUUGCAGCUCGUCUGCUUCCCCGCUGGUCUGUGCCUGACUGGUUCUUGUUUCUUUUGAACUCUAACCUGGUGCACGUCAUGAGAGACGCCUUCCCUGAAUUCCCUCCUCCAUUCCUCUCACUGGCCCCGUCUGACAUGCUUGCCCUCCCCUCCCCUGCCCCUAUCCCCCUGUGAGCCCCAUGAGAGAAAGGCCUCUGUCCUUAGAUGUGUUUCCCCAGAACCCAGGACAGGACAGCCACACAGGAGGCAACUGACACACUUUUCUUAAGUGACAGAAUAAAGUUCUAACUUUCAAGC